AAGGAUUUAAGUUAAUAAAACUAUUAACCUUCAAAGUUAAAAAUAGGUUAUCCUAAGCCUUA
rnacentral:tRNA from 1 species